rnacentral:lncRNA from 1 species
UUAAAGAUGCAGCGAUUCAAGCCAUAAGGGAUGGGAAGAAUCAAUAUGCUCGUGGACAUGGGGUUCCAGAGUUCAACUCUGCCAUUGCUUCCCGGUUUAAGAAAGAUUCUGGGCUUGAGGUUGACCCUGAAAAGGAAGUUACUGUUACCUCUGGGUGCACCGAAGCCAUUGCUGCAACCAUCUUAGGUUUGAUUAAUCCUGGAGAUGAGGUGAUCCUUUUUGCACCUUUCUAUGAUUCCUAUGAAGCUACUCUCUCCAUGGCUGGUGCUAAAAUUAAAUGCAUCACAUUGCGCCCUCCAGAUUUUGCCAUCCCCGUCGAAGAGCUCAAGUCUACAAUCUCAAAAAAUACUCGUGCAAUUCUUAUGAACACUCC